CGGAUUGCAGCCUGCAACCCGACUACAUGAAGCUGGAAUCGCUAGUAACCGCGGAUCAGAAUGCCGCGGUGAAUACGUUCCCGGGUCUUGUACACACCGCCCGUCACACCAUGGGAGUCGGAAAUGCCCGAAGUCUGUGACCCAACCAUUAAGGAGGGAGCAGCCGAAGGCAGGUCGGAUGACUGGGGUGAAGUCGUAACAAGGUAAC
rnacentral:rRNA from 1 species